GAUGAACGCUAGCUACAGGCUUAACACAUGCAAGUCGAGGGGCAGCAUGAUCAAAGCUUGCUUUGAUUGAUGGCGACCGGCGCACGGGUGAGUAACGCGUAUCCAACCUUCCCUAUAGUAGUGGAUAGCCCGGCGAAAGUCGGAUUAAUACACUAUGUUAUUCAACGAGGACAUCUGAAAUGAAUCAAAGGUUUACCGCUAUAGGAUGGGGAGGCGUCUGAUUAGAUAGUAGGCGGGGUAACGGCCCACCUAGUCGACGAUCAGUAGGGGUUCUGAGAGGAAGGUCCCCCACAUUGGAACUGAGACACGGUCCAAACGCCUACGGGAGGCAGCAGUGAGGAAUAUUGGUCAAUGGACGGGAGUCUGAACCAGCCAAGUAGCGUGCAGGAUGACGGCCCUAUGGGUUGUAAACUGCUUUUAUCGGGGGAUAAAGUGAGCCACGUGUGGCUUUUUGUAGGUACCCGAUGAAUAAGGACCGGCUAAUUCCGUGCCAGCAGCCGCAGUAACAC
rnacentral:rRNA from 1 species